rnacentral:rRNA from 1 species
CCCUUAGAUGUUCUGGGCCGCACGCGCGCUACACUGACGAAUGCAACGAGCUUAUAACCUUGGCCGAAAGGACUGGGUAAUCUCCAAAUUUCGUCGUGAUGGGGAUAGAUUAUUGCAAUUAUUAAUCUUCAACGAGGAAUGCCUAGUAAGCGCAAGUCAUCAGCUUGCGUUGAUUACGUCCCUGCCCUUUGUACACACCGCCCGUCGCUCCUACCGAUUGAAUGGUCCGGUGAAGCGUUCGGACCGUGGCCUUUGGACGGUUCGCCGUCUGUUGGCUGCGGGAAGUUCGUUAAACCUUAUCAUUUAGAGGAAGGAGAAGUCGUAACA